UCCACAGUCCUGGAGCAAUUACGGUGCAGUCUCAUGGUGCUGCGGUAGAUAGAGUUUCCUGUGUAGACACAUGAAAGGGCUCAGUGAUUCACAAGGGAACGUGUUGCCUGUAAGCAGGAGUUUGCCUGUGCCCAAGACUUGAGACUCUUCAGAACUGCAGAGAAGACACCACAGCAACUGUACAGGAGCCAUGGAGAGGAGACUGGGAGCUGUGCUGGGCCUUCUAUGGGUGCAGGUUUGCUGUGAGUUGUGGUCACCCCGAAUGUGGAACGGUGUGAUUCAGACCUGGGUGAGAGGGAUGCAGGUAGAGCAGAGUCCUUCAGCCCUGAGUCUACAGGAGGGAACUGGAUCUACUCUGAGAUGCAAUUUUUCUACCACCGUGAGGAGUGUGCAGUGGUUCCAACAGAAUUCCGGGGGCAGCCUCAUCAGUCUGCUUUAUGUGGCUGUGGGAGCAAAGGAGAACGGGAGAUUAAAGUCAACAUUUAAUUCUCAGGAGCUCUACACAACCCUGGACAUCAGGGAUGCCCAGCUGGAAGAUUCAGGCACUUACCUCUGUGCAGGGGAGGAGGCUGGCAACUACCUCAUU